rnacentral:lncRNA from 1 species
GGCUUGGGCUCAGAGGCCUGACAAUCUUCUUGAACCAUAAUGGAACUAAGUUAAAAAUUAAUAAAAGAAACAUAUCUAGUAAAUCUCCAAAUAUUUGGAAACCAACCGAUAAAGUUUGGAUGUGUGUCUCCACCAAAAUCUCAUAUUCAAAUGUAAUCCCCAAUGUUAGAAGUGGGGCCUGGUGGGAGGUGAUUGGCUCAUGGGGGUGGAUUUUUCAUGAAUCGCUUAGCAUCAUCCUCUUGGUACUGUCCUCACAAUAGUGAGUGAGUUCUUGUGAGAUCUGCUCAUUUAAAAGUGUGUGGCACCUCCCCCUACUCCUGCUCCUGCUCUCACCAUGUGGUGUUCCCACUCCUGGCUUCACCUGCCAUGAUUGUAAGCUUCCUGAGGCCUCUUCUGAAGCUGAUGCCAGAGCUGUUUCCUGAACAGCCUACAGAACCAUAAGUCAAUUAAACCUCUUUUCUUUACAAAUUACCCUGUCUCAGGUAUUUCUCUUUUCUUCUUUCUUUCUUUUUUUUUUUUUCUUGUGUGUGACAGACAGUCUUGCUCUAUUACCCAGGCUGGAGUGCAGUGGCACAAUCUCAGCUCAUUGCAACCUCCAUCUUCCUGGCUCAAAGAAUCCUCCCACCUUAGUCUCCAGAGUAUCUGGGACUACAAGCAUGCACCACCACACCCAGCUAAUUUUUUAAUUUUUUGUAGAGACGGGGUUUUGCCAUGUUGCUGAGGCUAGUCUCAAGCAUCUGCCUACUUCAGUCUCUCAAAGUGCUAGGAUUACAGACAUGAGCCACCGUGCCUGGCCUCAGGCAUUUCUUUAUAACAAUGCAAGCACGGACUAAUACACCAACAUACUUCUGGAUUACCCAUGGGCCAAAAGGAAAGCCACAAAGGAAUUUAGAAAAGUAAAUGAAAGAGAAAAUGCAACAUAUCAAAAUUUGCAGAAGGCAUUUAAAACGGUGAUUUAGAGAAAUUUAUAAAUGCUUAUAUUGGAAAAGAACAACAUCUCAAAUCAAGGAUCUAAGCUUGCAAGUGACAAAACUAGAAAAAGAACAGAAUAAACCCAAAGUAAGUAGAAGGAAGGAAAGUAUUAUUAGAAGACCAGAACUCAAAUAAAUUGGAAACAGAAAAACAAUAGAGAAAAUUAAUGAAACUAAAAGUUGAUUAUUUUAAAAGUUCAGCACAAUUGAUAAACCUCUAGCCUGGAUGACCAAGAAAAAUAAGAUGCAAAUUAGAAACAUCAGAAAUGAGAGAAGAAACAUCACUAUUAACCCCACAGACCUUAAGAGGAUAACAAGGGAACAGUACUAUGAAAAGCUGUUUGUAAAUUUGACAAAAUGCACUAAUUUUUAAAAUUAAAAAAAAUUACCAAAUUCAUUCAGGAAGAAAAAAGUUUAUGUUAAAGCAAUGAUUUAUUUCAUAUAUAUGUAUGUAUAACUUUUAAAUUGAAUUUGUAGUUUAAACCUUCCAAAAAGAAUUCUCUAGGCCCCAGUGGUUUCACUGAUGAAGUUUACCAAACAUUGUGGAAGAAAUAAUAAUUUUACAUAAUCUCUUCCAGAUAAAGAAGAGGAAGGAACACUUCUCAAUUGAUUUUAUGAGAUUGGCAUUACCCAAUAAAACCAAAGACAUUACAAUUAAGAAAAUGUCAACCCAAUAUCCUUUAAGAGCACAGACACAAAAAUCUUAUAAAAUAUUAUCAAAUUGAAUCCAAAAAUAUAUUUAAAAGAUAUUAAUAAUAUGGCAUGAUCAAGUGGGGCUUAUCCCCAGAAUGCAAGGCUCACUCAACAUUUGAAAAGCCAUCAAUGUAAUUCACCACGUCAACAGUCUAAAAAAGAAUAAUCACAUGAAUAUCUUAUUGGAUGAAGAAAAAGUUUAGAAUAAAUUCAGUAAUCACUUCAUGAUAAAAAAAAAAAAAAAAAAAAAAAACUCCAGCAAACAAGAAAGAGUAGGGAACUUCCUUAAACUAAUAAAAGGCAUCUAUGAAAAACCUACAUCUAACUUUAUACUUCAUGAUGAAAGACUAAUGCUUUCCCCCUAAGACUGGGAAGAAAAAGUUGUCCUCUCUUGACACAUUCGACAGUGUACUGAAAGUGCUAGCCAGUGUAAUAAGGCAAUAAAAAGAAGUAAAGGAUAUAAAUAUUGGAAGGGAAAAAGCAAAAAUAUAUUUAUUCAUACAUAGAUAACAUGUUCAUGUAGAACAUUUCAUUGAAUCUACAAAAAGCUUUUAAACUAGUAAGUGAAUUAGCAAGGUGCCAGCAUAUGUACAAGUCAAUAUAAAAAAGUUAAUUAUAUUCCGAUAUACCAGCAAUGAAUAAUUGAAAUCUGAAUUUUUUUCAAAAAUACCACUUAUAAUAGCACCAAAAAUAAGGAAAAUAUUUAGUUAUAAACAAUAAAAUAUGUGCACAAUCAAUUUGCUGAAUACAAAAGAUUGAUGAAAAAGUCAAAGAAGAUAUAAAUAAAUGUGGAGAUACAGUAUUCAUGGAUAAGGAAAAUUCAAUAUUGUUAAAAUGUAAAUUCUCCUAAUCUACAGAGUUAAUGCAAUUCCAAUUGAAAAUCCAAAGGAUUUUUGUAGGUUUUUUUGUAGAUUUAGACAAUUAAAAUUUUAUAUGGAAAACCAAAAUAACCAGAUUAGCCAAAAGAAAGAAAACAAAACAUAACAUUAGAGGUGUCAUACUACCUGAUUUCAAGACUUUAUAGUAGUCAAGAUCAUGUGGGAUUGGCAAAGGAAAAGAUAAAUCAAUGAAAUAGAAUUGACAGUCCAGAAAUAAACCUUUGUAUUUAUGGUCAAUUGAUUUCUUUAAAGAUGUAAAAGGAAUUCAGUGGAGAAAUUAUGGUAUUUUUAACAAAUGAUACUGGAACAUUUGGACAUUCAGAUGCACAUAAAUUCAUACAUACAUAUACACACAAUACAUGCAUACAUACACACAUACAUACAUAUGAAGAAUAAGCCUAAACUAUAUGUCACACCUUAUACAAAAUGAACUCAAAAUGGAUCAUAGACUAUAAAGUCUAAAGCUAAUAAACUUGUAGAAAAAGAAACUAUCUUGCCCUUCCGUGUCUUUUAAGAAGUCUUUUCUUUUUUUACCCCCUUGAAAACCCUGUAAUUGCCUCACCUGGAGCUGAUGCCUCACAAAAGAGAGGAUGCCCACUCUCCUCAAAAUCUACCCCAAACACUUCUUAUUGCCACUAGACCCAUAACUAGAGUCCAAUUUCAACAUGUUCCAGCAGCCUGGAAGUGGCAGCAGGUCUCUGAGUAUAACUGUGGCACUGAGCCCAGGUUCCCAGAUUUGUCUCGUUCCACUUGCUCUGCAGAGUAUGAGCCAAUAUAAACUAAAAGUGAUGUCUUUACUAAACACCUGUUACGAAACAGCCUGAGGUGUAGAUAUCUCUCAUCUCUGGCCUUGUUUUCAGCAUUUUUCCUCCUUGGAUCAACAGUUUCUGAUACCAGGUUAGGUUACAAGGCUGGAAUAAAAAAACAAACCCCAGCUUGGAAAGGAAGGUGAAUAAGGUAGUCACUCUUACUUGUUUGUUCUCACAGAAUUUGUCCACCUGACUAUUGAAAUACCCAGUCUAGCUUCUUAGUUUUUAUUCAUGGCUGUUGGUAUUUAUUAAGUAAGCAUUAACAGACUUAUUGGGCAAGUAAAACAUAAUGUGCUAGGCAGCCACAAGAAAAUACAAAGCCAGAGUCCCCAACCCUCAAGAGUUCAUUCUAGACUAAUCGUAAAUACAUGGCUUUAUGUUUUCAGAUUAUGCUUAAUGGAGCCACUCCGAACCAUUUUCUUCUGGGUGGCACACCUCUGCGUAACGAAAUUUUCCAGACUUCAUAUGGGCAAGGUAGCUAGGCAGAGAGAAUGACCUAAAACUAAAAUUGUUUCAGAGAGAAGUAGGAAUUGUACUAAUUAAUGCUGGAGCAAGACAAAGAUAGACUUCGAAGGGGCAGAUGGCUACAGCUUAGUGUCUAACAUUAUGGAAUUGAUCUCGGUAGGGCACCUAGCAUUGCUUCUACUACUCCCAUGCCUCUAACUGUCCCAUAAGCAGGUGCUGUUAGUGGCAAAGGCAAAAUGCAGGAGUGCAGCCCACCAUGGCUAUAAGAAGUACUCAAAAUCCAUAUCUUCCUGCUUUGGGAUAGCUGAAUCUCAAUAGACAACAAUUAUUUUUGUAACACACUUAAAUAAUGUAAGAGAAAAAAUAGUAAAGAAGAAAUGUUUAGAGAAAAUGGAAUGACAAAUGAGCAAAUAUAGGAAAAGAAGUCAGGGAAAAGAACAUCACACUAUAAACUCAUCAAUGCUUUAUACCAGCACCUUGCACAAAGUUUAACUUUGUAAAUUGUCUUAAAUAUUAAAUACCUAACUUUAUAUAAAAAGGCAACACCAAUAUCAUCUCUUCUCAGCGCCUCCAAACAAAAUUAUGUACUUUGUUUUUUCUAAUUAAAU